rnacentral:rRNA from 1 species
UACGAAGGGUGCAAACGUUGCUCGGAAUUAUUGGGCGUAAAGCGCACGUAGGCGGCUUUGCAAGUCGGAUGUGAAAUCCCCUCGGCUUAACCAAGGAAGUGCAUCCGAAACUGCAGAGCUUGAGUACUUAAGAGGAUCGCGGAAUUCCCGGUGUAGAGGUGAAAUGCGCAGAUAUCAGGAGGAACACCGGUGGCGAAGGCGGUCUCUGGCCGUAACUGACGCUGAGGAGCGAAGCAUGGAGCGAACAGG